UGCAAUUAAGUUACCAACUACUAAGCUCAAAUGCUUUCACUAUGCAAAUGCCUUGUAUCACCACAAAUGUCUUGCACCGCCUUUCUCUUCCACAAACCACACCACACAUACAACGUGACCAUCAUCAAUGUCAAGAUAACUUCACACUAAAACAUUGUAUCACCAUGACACAACUUCAAAAGCCAAACUCUCACACAAACAAAGAACAACUCAACAAUGACGAAAUGAUUAUUAAACCAUUAUGAUAGUUGCAUAGUUUAAUAAAUGAAGAAUAAACAGGUCCAAUGGGAGGUGUAGGAUGAUAUCGGUGAGGUUCAAGAAGAACCUCUCUUUGUUGAAAGGUUCUCCCUGCACCUCAUCUAUAUCAGGCUGCACAUUCAGCUUUUAUGAAUUUUCCUCAGAAUUUGUACAGAUUUUGUAGAAAAAAUCUUUAACUCUUUCCCUCUUUAAUACAAUCAUUCCCAAAUAAACCCUACACCACCCUUCCUUCCUCUCAUUUUGGUUGCCGCAUUUCAGAGAGUUUCUUUCUAUACUUCAAAGCUCUACGCAUUUCAUUCUCGCCUCGACUCCCAUUUGCACCCUCCUCAGAGAGCUUUAUUGUCCUCAAUGCUUCCACUCCGAAUUCUUCUUCAAGAUACUUCAUGAAGUACACUUUCAGCGCCAAACUAAUAAUUAUAAAAUAUGUCAAAUACUACAUUUGAAAAUAAAAACAUGUUCUUAAAGAAUCAUAAACUUUCAAAACAUGAUUAUCUCCCG
rnacentral:lncRNA from 1 species